AUGGAAACUUCUCAGGUCACUGACUCUCACCUUCCUUUCCUCCUCAGGAGGGCAGGCCCAGCCCCACUCCCUACAGCCUGGCCCCUCCUUUCCCUGAAGGCCCUGCUGUCCUGGCGCAGUGUGGAGAAGGGCAGGCCUGGGGACUGGACAGCAGCAGGGCCAGGGUGGUCUGCUGCAGGGGGAGACGCACCUCUGCUUCCUGCGACCUUGGCGGUUUUAGGUUUCACUGCAGGGAAAGAAAGGGAGAAUGUCAGGGACAGUACUGGAAACUGGGAUGUUGACUUCUUACCUGAGCAGGUCCAAGUCAUAGACUCAUUGACCAUCAGCUCUCCAUGGCCCUUAAGCUCCACCACUCAACAGACAAGGAUCAUGCUGAUGAAUAAGGAGCAGAGGUAAAGGAGGUGAACGGGGGAGCAGAGGGAGGAUGGAAGAGGGCUCUAAGAGGGAGAACUUGGCUUGUCUGCAUAGAGCAGAACGAUGGGGAGAGGCAGUUAAAAGGGUAAAAUGGUCAACUGAGGUGAGGCCCGUGAAGAAGGGAUGAAAACCCUCUUCAUCACGUUCUUUGGCCUCUUCAACACAUUCUUUCUGGACUUGGUAGUGGCCACUCAGAGUUCUGCCUGCUGAGGUUCCAGGAACCCCAACUGAGGGGCAGCUCUCCUGGAAAUAGGGGUUGGCGGGAGGUCUAUGGUGGUGGCCAGGUGAAGAAUUGAAAGGCUCCUCUCCUAAUGACCCAAAAGUGGCCAACACAUCCUCUCCUGCAGAUACCAUGGCCAGGAGAGCCUGUCCUGUUUGUAUGUCUGGUUUAAUCUGAUCAAAGACCUGUGGCAUUAGACCCUUGGUAAUCCCAGACCCAGAGCACCAUUUGAAUUCUACUUGGAUCUUGUCUUAGAUUCUACUUAAAUAAGCUAGGUAGGUCAAAGAAUUUAGCUUCUCAGCCUUCAGUUUCUUCAGCUGUCCUGAAAAGGAUCUUGACCACCAAAUAGUGUAUGGAGCCCUUGUUACACAGACAGCACUGUCUUAGGCACUGGUGGAUACAAAGACACAGUGCUCACCCUAAAGGAGCUUCUGACCCAGCUGUCGCUAUGCCAUCCAUCACCCAGGGGUCAUCUUUGCAGGGGACGGCCCAGCUCCUCAUGCUGCCCCUGUGGGGAGGGUCACUCUGAACAUCACUUUCCCCAUUCUGUAAAAUGAGAGGAAUAAAAUUCCUCUCCACAUUGUGGAGUCAGUCUCUCGAGAAUACUUCAUAGACUAGAUUAUUUUAAGUGAGCUUUUAAUGGAACUAUCACACACAGAGAGAAAAGUGCACAAAUGCUAAGUGUAGAACACGGUGGUGAAUUAUCAUAAAGUCAACACAUGUAGGUGUCCACUACAGCUCAACAAAUGGAACAUGGUAGAAUGUGACCACUGCUGUGGAAUCCCCCUCCUAUUCUCUCCUAGUCAUUAUCUCCGGCCUCCUUCCCAGAAGUAAGCACUCUUCUGGCUUCUAACCCCCGAGAUUCAGAGACUAGAUUUUAACCGAACAACCUGUAAAACAAUAUGAGUUGGUAGAUGCCAAGUAGGGCACUGUCACAGAGAAUUGUGAUGCUAAUUUCCUGAGAUCCUCUUUACUCUGGGGCUGCAGAUCCAUGGCAGAUGUUUCUGGGAGCACUUUGGGAAGUUGUGAGGCAUCCUCCCAAAUAAUUUGAGCAUCUAUUGCAAGAGCCGGAAGGCCAGACUGCAGCGUGGAGAGUUGAUCCAGGUGUACGGCAUUGUGGAUAUCAGCAUCCUGCCUUCCACGAUAAUCCACAAAUGCUACCUGGAUCUGCUCACGCCACCAGGGCAUCGUCAGGCCCUCCUCACGUCCCUGGUGUGCUCAUUAGCUUGCUGCAUGGAGCUGCUUAAAGAAUUGAUGUACCUUUUGGUGGAAGUGGACAAUAGAAGUGUAGACGUCUUCACUAUGAUAGGUGUAAGCUGUAGCAAACUGGCCAGCAAACUGGCUCUGGUACCAAACAGGAGGACUCCUGGAGCUGCCUGAGAGGGGCCUUCUUAAGAAGGAAGCAGCCUGGACCUUUGCUAACUGCAUUGAUCCUAGCAGCCUCCUCACGUGAUUUUUAAAGUACCAAUUGCUGCUUAUAAAUGGCUUUCAAAAAGCAAUCUGAAUACAAUCUUUAGUUGAAAGAAAACACAAUUUUUCUGCAGUACAAACCACAUUUCACAUAUCCUCAAGCCUUCACCUUCAUCUUUG
rnacentral:lncRNA from 1 species